UUACUGUUGAUGUCAGCCCCUU
rnacentral:miRNA from 2 species